GGAAGCCUUCACAUAUAAAACACGGCAUGCACUUAAACGAGAGGAAUGUUGGAGCUUAACACCUAGCUGUGGACACUGUUUCAGUAUGGAGGUAGAAUAGUUCUUUUAUACCUGCAUGGUUUCAGCAAUACCAUGAUCGUUCGAGGACAUCUCUUCGUUGUCCUUAAUAAUAAUAAUAAUAACACUUUAUAUCAGAUCACUGAGAUAUGAACAAAAAUAAAUAAUGGACAGAUAACAGCAGUGCAAUAUUAUCUUGUUAAGACACAACAGUUCGGCCCAUUUGGCACCUAAAGGCGAAUAGGCCUACUCUCGAAUGUCAGAAUUAACAUUGUACAAACUACUAUUUUUCGCACUCGCAAUAGUUCAAUCUAACUAUGCGUUUUUCGGUGUAUAAUCUGCAGACUACAGUUCAGUAACAUAAUUUAAAUUAACAUUGUACUUAUGUCAACGCGGAACCGGUUUUAAGAUUACAAAUAAGUAGAUCAGCUAUAUCGCAAAGUUUUCUCUUUAAGAACAUUUUUAACAUCCAUAUCAGCGUGUAAGUCAGAUGUAACGCCAUACCUUAUGGCUUUUAAUGAUAGUUAGAUAGUGGGGGUAACUAACUCUUCGUCCCAUGCAAAUAUUUAGGUUGACAGUCAUGUGACACGACAGAGACAAGUUGGUGGCAGGUGGAAUUGAACUUACCGGCUGUGAUGUUUGGGCUCUCGAACCCUUUUAUUAGAAGAUUGGCAACCACAUGUUCAUCCUGUCACCUACAUUCAUUUUGCAAAUUAAAAAGUUCUUUUGUCGAAACUAACAGCCUCGUUAUUUGUAAAUUGUAGCUCAUUAAUACCCCGUUCACACGGCCAAAGAUAAGCCGGCUUAAAUCCGAAAGUGAUCCAGUUCGACGUCGCUCGUGUGAACGCAAAGCGAAGCCAUUUAAUCCGGUUUAUUUGUUCCUGCUAGCGGAGUGGCUUUAAGUCAGUUUCCCUGGAUACUUGGAGGUCAGGAUGACGUCCUUAUUACUAAGCCCGCUUAAAUGUGUCCGUGUGAACGGGGAAAUCCCUGAAUUGGCUUAAAACCGCGGCUUGGCCAUAUGGUCGAGUGAAUGCAGGCAUUUUUACAACUGGACUUGAUCUGGUUUAAAUUUUUCAGUGUGAACGGGGUAUUAGUCUCCGAUGGCUUGUGAUGGCAUUCACAAAUACCAUCAGUAAAUAACGAAUUCUGAUUUGGUGUACGCCUACUGGUACUGGAAGCAAAGGGAAGGUUUAUUCCUUACGAUGUAUGGCUUUAAAACAUUUUUUUUUGUUUAUUUUAUAAUUACUUGCCAAGAACUGAUACUUCUCGGUCAAUCGGCCUCUUCAUCACGAGGUAUUGCCCGUUUGUUGGUUUUGUUACGGCAAUUAACAACUUACUAAUGUUGUUUUCCAGCUGGGAGAUAUUACCUCGGCUGAAUCCUCCUACAAACAGGCUAUGAUGUAUAACAGCACGCUGUGGGAUAUCUUCGCCUUCAGAGGGGAUUUCCUACUACGACAAGGCAGGCCAGAAGAAGCCGCGACCAUGUACAAAAAGGGUAUAUCUGUGAAACCUGACAUGGUGACAUUCUGGAAGAUGUUGAAAGUGGCCCAGGAAAAGAUGGGUGACCAAAAAGGUGCCAGAAUCUCACAGGACUGGAUAGACUUCCUUAGCAUAUGAUCCCAAUGGAUAGCGCCAAAAGGUCACAGGACUGGAUAGAUUUCCUUGCCAUGUGAUCCCAAUGGGCAUUGCCAGCACGUCACAGGGCUGGAUAGAUUUGCAUAUAAUGUGAUCUCUAAGUGCAAUGCCUGAACAUCACAGAACUAGAUGAAUUUCCCCACCGAGUGAUCUCAAUGGACAGUGCCAGCAUGUCACAGGACUGGAUAGAUUUCUUCACCCUGUGAUCUCAAUGGACAUUGCCAGCAUGUCACAGGACUGGAUAGAUUUCUUCACCCUGUGAUCUCAAUGGACAGUGCUAGCAUGUCACAGGACUGGAUAGAUUUCUUCACCCUGUGAUCUCAAUGGACAGUGCCAGCAUGUCACAGGACUGGAUAGAUUUCUUCACCCUGUGAUCUCAAUGGACAGUGCCAGCAUGUCACAGGACUGGAUAGAUUUCUUCACCCUGUGAUCUCAAUGGACAGUGCCAGCAUGUCACAGGACUGGAUAGAUUUCUUCACCCUGUGAUCUCAAUGGACAGUGCCAGCACGUCACAGGGUUGAAUAGGUCUCUUUGCCUCGUGAUCCCAAUGGACAAUGCCAGAAUGUCACAGGCAGUCUUGAGAGCACUGGUCGCACUGAUAUUUCCAAAGAAGGACACCUUAUAUGGUACAGGAGAGUGCAGUGCAUUUCACGACUAAAAGAAACCACUAUUUCAGUAGAUGGACGUGUUUAAUCAGAUGUGCUAACAAACCUUGGCCUUCAAUUUAGGUCUCAAGGGCACAAUGUAAAAUCUAAAUAUGUUGCAUUCAUUUGAAAAAGAUUAAGGUUGAGGUUCCCAAGAUCUGUAUUACUGACAUAAAAAUAACUUGGCAUCUACCGAAAUAGUAUAUUCUUUUGUCGAUAGCUUUACCAGUAUACAGUUUAAUAGUAUUAGCGUUCUAAUGCACCUUAUAUGAACAUAAUUAUGGAUGGACAGCUAUGAUGAUAUAUAUAUAUAUAUACAGGUGGAUGAAUUUAGAAGAGAGAGUGGCGAGGGGAGAUGAAGUUCAACAGGUUACCUUAAAUCAAACUAAACACGACAUUCCUUUUUAUGUUCAAUUUGUGUUGAUCUGAUUCCGUUAUUAAAAGCUUUCUCGCGUGUUGCCUACCAGUGUAUGCUACAAACGGAAUUAUGUCAUGCAUUUUCAAUUAUCUUUUAUAUUAAUCAGAGAUUUAGCCAUUUCAUGUUAUAAGGCAAGAUCCAUGUAUUCGAGAUUUAUAAGUUAUUACGAUACAAAGAAAUUCAACAAUGUUGGACGUAGGUGUAAUAUAUGUUUGGACAGGUGUCUUAUUUUAUUAACUAUGCGAAACAGGUACAUCUUGCACAAUAGUUAAAUGUUUCAUUAAACCAUUCCUCAACUGGUUAAUAAUUCAUACAUUCUGCGAACGUUCCUGUUAUUUUCAUUUUUAGGUUAUCCUGAAGUGUACAACGUUCAUGUUACAAUAAACAGUGGAGUAUACACAUUUUCUGGGGAAUAUAAUAAUCAGCUUCAUCAUA